UGCAUCCAAAACGCAGCUGCAAGUUGUAAACGGAAAACGUACGACUCCACACAGGACGCAGGAAUACCCUGUGAUAACGCAACACGAUGAUUUAAUAAAAUACAUAUAUGAUUCCUGGAAUAAAGUGUCCAGAGAAUUUGAACAUUUUAAUCAGACUGGGGGUGAACAUGGUGGUCCAUGUGUUCUCUACUAUGCAGAGAAAGAACCUAACCCCAAACUUAAAGAUUUCCAGCCGUUUGAUCUCGAAGCAUGGUGGGGUCAGCGUCUGGUGCAGAACAUAACACGUACACAGUCAUCAUAGUGUUUUGUUUUUUUUAAUAAAAUGUGCAGAAUAUAACUAUUGUACAUGAUUUAUACCUAAACAAUUUUACUUGCUUCAUUCCUACAAUUUUUAUUGUAUGGUGUAACUUUGAAAUCCUGCAUUGGUUUUAGCUCCGAUAAAUUUUUAUAAAAACUGCAAAGUUUCAGGAGCAUCUCAAAGUUUUGUAUGUGUGUACAAUCAUAAUUGUAAACUUAGUUGUGACAAUUUUUAAUGCGAUUCUAUUCUUUGAAACAACCAUGAUUGUACUUUAAGUAACUUAAAUUGAUACAAGUGUGAGUGUUGUAAAUAUUGUGGUUUUUCUUUGCAGCAUUAAGUAAUGGAAGAUUUGUUAACUAUACAAAUCAGUAUUAAUGUACCAUUCGUGUGUGUUUGUAUAUUUAAAAUAUAAUAAUUGUUUAUGAAUAAUAAAUAUUUUUUUGUAAAAA